CCAGGCGGCCCCAAAGCAGGACACUGAGGACCGCCGGGAAAGCGGCAGGCCCACAGAGACCCCAAGCAGCUGUCGCAAGAGGCCUGAGGGGCAGCCGCCCAUCGUGUACGACUACUCCGAGGAGGAGCUGAUGGCCAGCAUUGAGCGGGAGUACUGCCGCUGAGGCCGGCCCCACGCAGGGCCCCCCGGAGGGCAGCUGCCGGCAAGCUCCCCAACCAGGUAGCCGCUGGGCCGGGCCCAAAGACCCAGCCCCGUGCCACCAAGCGGCAGCCACUUUGGCUGUGGGCGGAGACCACCCUCCUUUGGGUGCCCGCAGGUGCGGAAUCCCCUCCAACGCAGAGUGGCGCUCAGCUGUCGGACUGACGCUUCCAAGCAUGUACAGCCACUCUGUCUGUCCGGGGCCUGCGGCUGACCAUAGAGUGCGCGCAGGGCAAAGACGCACAGGUGGCCCCGACGGCCGCUUGCGUUUGCGCAGUCGGGAGAAAGGCUGUGGCGCGAGGCUCCUGGAGCUUGGGAUGGAAAGCUGGCCCAGGGCCCCCAGGUAACACCGGGGAGCACCUGGGAGUGGAUGCCGCAGGGCCUCGAACCCGGCCCUGGAAGGUGCGCCAGGGCUUCCGGGCGCUGAGGGACAGACACCCACUCACAAGAAAUGAGGCUAGAAGAACUCUGGAACUUAGCUGACAGGUAAGAAAACCGCCUUACCAAGAUACCCUGUGCACGUGUGGCAAGCCCAGGAAGAGAAUCUAAGCUGCCCAGCUGGAAGGCCAAACAUUUCCAGGGGGUGGACUUGGGCCCUGAACCCCUCGGCCGGGGGUGAAUCGCUCCUAGAAUGCCCACCAUGGAGAGGGGACCUUGGUCUUGGAAGGCAUGAAGGAGGUCCCCCUGGACCAGCUGCCAUGGGCUCUGGACGUGGGCCAACAUCAGCUUCUGGUGAAGCGGGGACAUGCCUCAGCUUGUCUUUAUUCCUGCUGAGCAGUGGCCUCUCCCUGGCACCGGCCCCUUCACGGCAAGAGCUGCCAGUCCACACGUCCCAAACACAGCCCAGGGCGAGCACGUCUUGGGAACCAGCAAAGGCCACUUGGCAGCCCGGCCAUCGCUGAGGGGCUGAGCGCCGUGAACAGGCAGGCACUGACGGGAGAGCCUGGAGGCAGGCAUUUGCAGCUGGAAGAGUUGACUGCGGGCCGAGGAUGGAGCAGUGAGUCUUUCAGCAAACACCACCCCACGGGAGCUGACACGGAGCCCAGAGCUGCCUCUCAUCCAAACAAAAGCCAUUUAUUCUCAUUAAAAAAAUGAGGCCCAUUGCGAUUUUAAUGAUCCAAACCCUCCUUUAAAGAGAAGUUUAGAGAACGUGGCACCUGAGCACCAGGCGAGUCCCUCGGGCUCUGCGUCUGAUGGUGCCCAGUGUUGACAACGGUGCCGCCGCCUCUUGUUCCGAGAUGGCCACGUCGUGCUGCCGAGAGGAAGUGGGGUCUCUGCACUGUGUGUGUGGGGUGGGGGCUUGUGAAACCUUCAUGCAGCGAAUGAGUCAGGAAACCAUGUCCUCCAGCCAGCUGCCCUCUGCGUCCACCUCAAGGGGAAUGCACUCAAAGCGAAGACCGCUCAGCCAUGGUGCUCAGGGCUUUAAACAAUUUUACUCCUUACCUUAAAGGGACUCUUCUUCAGAGGCUGACCAAGCAGCACCGCGCUCUGUGGCUGCCCUCCCCUGCCUAACCUAACCUGUGAGAGGGCCGGUGUGCUACGGGAGGCUUCAGGGGUGGGCGAGCCCUCUGUGUGCCCUGAUGCCCAAUCCUGGAAGCCCCCUGUCUGACAAGAUGUACGCGUGUGUCCCAGGCUCUCUUUGGGAGCCCCUUGGUAAGUAGGAUGUUUUGAUUUGCCACGGGCCAUGUGUUUGUGAGUUUCCUUUGCCCUCCGCAUCCUUUGAAAGCUCGGUUUCUCGGCAAACCCCUGGACACCAGUAUGACCGGGCUAAUCAUCGUCUUCCCCAUCCAGAUGGUGUGUCUCGUGGUUAUCUCACCCUUGUCCCGCUUGACUUAAUAAAUGGUCUCUCUGAA